GCCCCCGUAGCGCAAUGGUAGCGCGUAAGACUGUAUGUGCAAACUGCUGAAAUAUAUCUUUCAUGACAUCAUAACUAACAAUUCCGAAGUCUAGCUUCAAAGCGAUCUUAAGGUUGCGAGUUCGAGCCUCGCCGGGGGCU